CUGACAGCGGCCGCCGGCGGCGGGAGGGGAGGACGGGCAGGAGGAGGAGAAGCAGCAGGAGGAGGAGCCCCGCGCAGGCGCCCACGAACUGUCAUUGGAGAUAUUUAGAAGGACAAUACCCAAGAAGACUGAGCAGGCUUUGUGUAAACAAUGGACCAGGCAGCUGAAGAGCUGUCAUAGGAUUUCAGGGGAUCACCAAAUCUGUGCAAAUCCUUCAGAUGAGCAAGCCCACCCUCUGAACUGUUUAAUCCAGGCUUGAUACAUCAAGAAAACUUCAGAGGAGUUAUUAUUGCCUCACACCAAUGAACUUGCAAGAAUUAAAAAUCAUAAAAUUUAAAAAUCUGAGUGGGAAUUAUGAACCAGUUUCAACACUAUAUGGGGCCAAUUCAUAUAAAAAACAUAAACAUGAGUCUCAUUGUCUUACAAAAGCAAAAGGUAAGAAUCAGUCUUUAUUACUUUGUAUUUCCACAUUACCUGCUUGAUUCUGUUCUGGUUUAUUUGUGAUCAAUCAUAGAAGAUAUGCUUUAUUUAUAAAGCUGCAUGAAAUAUGGGACUUUUUGCCACAUUGAAUCUGUAUGAAGACAUCAUUAAUUUAUACUUGUUACAGGCCACAUAAGAGGUCACAUUCUCUUUUUAUUGUCCUUGCUGGAGCAUGGGAAAGAGGUGUCAUGAUUUUAACUUACAUGCUUGCACAGGCAAGUGCAGAGAAAACUAAUUCUAAAGGAACAAUUAUCUAUUCUAUCACCAGUUCUGGAGAAGGAAAUGUAGAAUUAAAAGUUAUCUUUUGGGUUGCUGAGUCCAGUCUUCUGCUUCUGCAGUAAGCCAAGUUCCCAAUCUUUUUCACAAACAGCUUGUGCUAUUCAAAAAUGUGCUCUUUCCUCUUUGCUGUCUCUCCUAUCCUCCCAGUUUCCCACUUUAUAUGGUGUUUUUUCCAGAUUUUCCUUCUUUUGAUGGGAAAAAACCUUUUAAUUUCCAUGGUCAGUUUAGGCAUGUUUUUCUUGUUCUGUGAAAUUCCUAAAAAAUUCAUUACUGCAGGUACCCAUGUCUGUAUAGGGAAUAAGGGAGGAAAACCCUUAUAAGAGGACAGAAAAUCUACACUUGGGUAAAUCCUUAAGACUCAAGUCUGUUGGCAACUAGGCUUUAAUAGCACUUAGCAUAAAGUGUUUGUGUAUCUAAUACUACCAGGUUUUUCUGGGACUGGCAAAUGAAUUAUUUAGUAAUGGAAACUGCAUGUGCAUGUUUUGGCUUCUGUAGGUUCAUGUGAUAGAAAACUGUAAGAGUGUCUGGAGGGAUCACAACUGCCCAACUUCGUGUCAUAGACCCCAUGUCUUAGCAGGAAUCAGAAAUUCCCAUUUAGCUGAGUAGAAGAGAGAGAACAGAGUGGCAACUCCCAGCUUUUAUUGCUAAUGCUUUGUAAAAUAACAUUUGUGGUCUGUAGAUUCAGUUCUGUGCAGGUCUGUGUGACUUAAGAUUUAUUACACCACUUCAUAUUUGUGCAUCUCUCUCCAAUUCCUGGAUAUGAAAGAAAUUAAAGGUCCAAAAGGCUACCUUUACAUUAAUAGAUCCAGAAAUACCCAAUAUUUAACUUCCCUGGACAAAGGAAUUGCAUCGAGGGCUGGCUUGUCCUGUUAGCAUGUGACAGUGUCAGCCCUGUGUGCUGCAAAGCUUCAUGGAGCCUUAGAGAAUAAAAAAAGAAAAAAGCCAAUGAAAAACAGAUGGAGUUUUCAUUAGAUAUCACUUUUAAUGAUCUGCUUUAAAAGCAAAGAUACACCAUUCUGAGCAGAACGGCCUCAUAAUAGCUGUGAUUGGGUCCCAGGCUCAUUAACUUAGUUACAGAUAAGCAAGACUGCAAGAUCUUUGUAUCAUUAGAGGUUCCAGUCAAGCUUGCCUACCAUUAUUAGAAUUCCAAACACAGCAGAACUAUUUUGGAGCCUUAACAAUAAUUUAUCCUGAAGAUGUAUCUUUAUUUAAUGAUUCAGGGUUGUUAUGGCCUGGCAGUCAGUUGCUCAGUUUCUGGAGUAUUACCAUUUAACCUAGGUCAGGAUAAAAAUGCUGGAAUAUUCAUUGCAGAGCAGACCUGAGAGCCUGUUCUUUACAGUCCACUUGUGUGGGACUCUCCCAAAUGGUGUCACUGGCUGUGAGGGCUGACCCCAGCAGUCUAGAAAACCUGAAGAUCCCUCCUAAAAAGAUGGACCCUGCAAUCUGUGCCUGUCGGUACUAAAUCAACUUUUGACAUGUAAAGAACAAUGCAAUCCCAGGGUUUUAGGAGUAGAUGCUUGCUGGCAAACCACAAAAAAUGCUUUUGUCUGGAACUCAUGGAGCAGUAACAUAGCAAUGGAGGGUGUACCCUUGUCUGUUAUUCCCUCUGAGCAAUUUCUCAGAGACAUGUUACCAGGAUUCAGAUAGAUUACAUGGAACUAGGGGAGAAAUAGGCUUUAAUUUCCUUACAGAGGGAGGGAGAGACAAUAGAACUCAGCAAAACAUGUGGCUUUUUUUUGUUUGUGUCUGAGAGUUAUGUAAGCAAAACCCAGUGCCCAUCUUCAGGCAGUACCCUCUAAAGUGAGACUCACGUGAGAAAAUUUGUGGUACCUUUCUUCUGGUAUGAGUUGAGAAAAUUGCUUUAUUUCCUCUGCAUAUGCGUAAAUACAACCUUUGUCUUCAGCUGAUCUCCAGAUGGGGAGUACAAAUCAGAAUCCAAGUUUCUCAAAGUUCAAGGAAGUUUGGAGCUGAUGUUCUGGUUCACUGCCACCUCUGCAGAAAAAUACCUGCAUGAAUAAAAAAGAAAUAAGCCUCCUGUUUUCAUAAAAGAGGGACUACAAGGAUCAAGCCCAGUGACAGUCAAUCACAAACUGCUAAUUAAACGCUGUUCUGAAACCAGGUUUUUCCCUCCCUGUUAGAUAACUUCUUCAACUUCCAGACUAGAGUUAUUGGUUGACUAGUUUGUUCACAUAGAGUAUUGUGCCAAAGCUGCCUUUUAGUUUAGAUUAUUAUAAACAAAGAGAAUAUAUUAGAUUUCCUCUGUUUUUUGUGUCUUUCAGAAAAAAGAAAAAAAAGCUUGUGUUCAAGGUCAAAUUAUUCCCACAUACAAUUCAAGGGUGGGGGAAAAUAAGCAAAAGGAGAAGAUGGUAAAUGAGUGCUUUAUAUUUAGGUUUGUGUACCUUAGUUAGAAUGGUCCAGCCCUUUAUCAACAGCAACCCUGCUCUUCUGAGGGCUCUUGUUACCUUAUGUCCAAGUAAAUGCAGUCAUUUUUCUUUCUUUGUGGUUUAUUUGCAGACAUCAAGCAUAACCCCUUGCUAUGUUGCUAGAGUGAAAAAACCAACACUUCUUAUGCAAUUGUUUCUUUCUUCUUUAGCCAUUCAGUGGCCUUUUCUUGAUUCGGUGGCCUUUUCUUGAUUCAGUGUAUCUUUCUGAGCAUGGGUGGCCAAACCUGAACACCACUUGAACAAGUCAGUUCCAUCAUACUGGUGAUUCCAGCACAAGGUGAGAGGUUCCCAACUGUUUGUGAAGAAUUUUCACAGGAUGAGUUCUCAGCAAAUUCUGAGCAGGUGCCUUUCCAAGGUAUCUGGCUAUACAAAGCUCAGUCACCCAAGGGGAAACUUGUCCUAAGUAAAUAACCUGUGUGGAUCAAUGCAAAAAUGCAAGUGACAAAGGGCUUGCUUUGUACAUGGGAAUUCAUCCCUGAACUGCUCGGAGUAGCAGCACAUGGUGUCUGGUACUCCCUGGUGCCAUGGUAUCCGUGUGUGCACGAAGAGCACCAACUAAAGCUUAGGGAAUUACUGCUGCAGUGUUUCUAGCACCUUGGGGAAGGCAACUUCUCAACAAGGUAAAUUGGUAUUUUGGCAGAUCUUUGCUGUACCAAGUGUUCCACCAGUGAAGAAUUCUGGAGAAGUGGUAAGAGAAAUACAACUGACCUCCAGAGCGAGGCACUCCUGUUGAAAAUUGAGUCAUUUAAGAUCUGAUUUUAAGAGGUCCUGGAUACCUUCUAGAAGUUGCUUUGUAAAGCAUCUGCAUGUCAGCACCCUACAUAUUUUAAACUGAACAUGCAAAACCCCAGCAUGGAUGGGCACUCUUCAAUGUGGGGGCCUACGUGACUCCCUUUUAGUCACUUGGCAACACAAUAAUAGAAAUAGGAACAUGGGAUUUCUUAUGUCUAUUGUGUCCAUUAGAACAAUACUGCUGAGAGCAACUGAGACCAAAGGCCUGGCCUUCAAAAUAUAUGACUUGAAAAGAAAGCUGCAUUGUUUUGGUAAGGUCCAAAUAUAUUUCAUUCAGCUUUGCUGCUACUCCCAAAGCUUAGUUGUAAACAAGUCACACAUCUGGGUAGCACUGUCUUCAUCAUCACCAGGAAUUACUGGCUUCACAAUGUUGUGUGUGUGCAGAAAACAGCUUGUAAGAGAUAACCUGAGCAAACUCUUAUGAUUGAAGAGUUUAAAUAUCUUCAGUGAUCAGUCUGCAAAGUAGCCACAGUCUUUAACUUUAUGGAUGUAACCCUGAAGUCUUGAAAUUCUGCAUUUUAGCCCUGCAGAGUUCCUCUGAUUCUGCUCCCUAUCAAAUUUCCAUGCUAACUCUUUGUCCAGACAGGUCACUUGUCCAGAGCAAUGAUGUAUGAACUGCUCUUGUGGGAGGUGAGUGUGAACUUGAGUAGAACUCACGGACAGCUAUCAAGAGUUUUGUAGCUAUACAGCAAUAAAACUUUGAAAAUCAUACCUGUAUAUCAUAAAUAAAAUGAAGUAAGUUGUCAGGAUUAUCAUUACUCAGUGCGAAGUGGCAAAAUAAUGUUGCACCUGAAUAACUUCUGUUGAAGUGACAGAUUGUUUUCUCAUUGCAUGGUUGGCAUAUCCUGGAGACUUUGGAUUCUGCACUGUGGAGGCUGAAUUUAUUUGAAUUAAUUAAUAUUUAAAAUGUUCCAUGCCCCUGAUUCCAGCCUCAGUUCCCAAAACAGAAAAGUUCCCAUGACAGAAAAACCACUGGAACAAACAGCCACUGAAUUCCAGUAUGGACAGGGAUCCACAGAAUGGGACAGAGAACUUGGAGACUCCCAAUUUGUGCACAGCUGAUACAAAGCCAGGGUUCGGGGUUCAGGGCUGCUGACAGGAUGAGAAGGGGACAUGAUCUGUUCACUCUAAGAGACUGAGGACACCUGGAGAAGACUACAUUCUGGAGGAGUUGACAGACUUCACCAGUUGUCUGCCUUCCUCUUCUUGGAAAGGCCAUUCCAAAAAGCCUUUGCAAACUUCCCAGCGUGGUAGUAAGGCAAGGUCCUCAGCGUGGAAGAAUAAAAUAAAGAGUGCUCUUGCUGCAGAGCUGCUGCUCUCUUCUGCUCCUAAAUUGUUCCUACUCUUAGUCAAACCCACAGCUUGCCAGCUGAUUCAUGGCUGAUUACCACAUGCUCCCAGUUUCCUUUACACUUGCCUGGCACUUCCUUGGCCUCCCAAGCAGAAAUCUGGACAGAGCACAGAACAGCCCCUUACCAAGAGACACAACUGCACCCCACAGCCUGAGAACACCAGGAUGUGGCAUCACUCGGAGCUCUGCAGGCCCUGAGAGCUCCAAAAGGCAGAGACAGAGACCCAAUGUGUGUUCCUUGGCAUUCUCACACCUCUCUCUUAACUGGGUGUCCCUGAUGGCCUCCUUCAUAAAUCAUUAAUAAAAGAUACUUUGAAUAAAUACUUUCUCUGUUAUCUUCUCCAGUAUGAAGGAUUAAUUUUGCAUGAGUCUAUGCCUUUAGUGUUCUUCACCAGUGACAGAAAUUAAUCUCUUGGCCAGAUUUUAUGAAUGAUGUUCCACAUUUAUUGUGUAUUAUGAACUUUUUGGAUGAUAUAAAGUCAAGUCUAGGCAUCUGUCUUUGGUUCUAACACUAUUUUUCUUCUGUGAUGAACAGCGUACUGCAGUCUAUAGAUACCUGUAAUUUACAACCCUUUUUUUGAGUUUAAAGUAAGAUCAUGAUUAACAUUUUAUAUGAAGCAAGGUGGUGAACAGGAGAGUUCAUUGACAUUUCAACCCUGGAAUCACCCAAACACUGUUUUACAUUCCAAAUAAAAUAUUUGGUGGGUUUCACACCAGUCUUUUAUCAGUGAAUAUCACAAUGUUGCUGUUGGGGAGAACUGAAUUUAUUAAGGCAGUAUAUUUUAAAAAUUGGCUCCAGCACCACACAGCUGGCAACAAGGAAAAAGUAAUCUAAGGCAGCAUGUACAAAACUGUUCUCUAGUUAGACUGUGAAUUUUUCAAUAACUGCCUCCAACAGACCACCCUACGACACUGACUGCAAGCACAGAAAGCCUGAUUGUUCAAAAGUCAUAUAAAUAAAACGUAGAUGAUGAAAUGCCAACCUCCCACUGUUCACCUCCAACCUAUUCUUUUCAUCUUUUUCUGCUUAUUUUACUUGUUUCUUUCCUGGUGUCCUUCCUCUCACUGAUGUUUUCCUUCUGUACCACCCUCUUUGCCUCCCAGAACCAACUGUAGCUUUUAGCUUUAAUGGCAGAACAGGAACUGGAACUGUUCAAAGAUCUUUCAUUCUUUCACCUCCUGCCCCCUUUGCACAAGGACAGGCUACUCACUACUCAGAAAAAAACUACGAAAAUAGGAAAAAUAGUAGAGUAAUUAACCUGGAUCACUGAAAAACCCAAGAAUCUCUCACUCCUGUUGUCUUGAACUAAAAUACAUGAAGAACUUCCUGGUUUAUAACAUACUUUCUCUAAAGGAUGUUUUCUGAAAGACAGUGUCAAUGUGGUGUAAUUUCUUUGGCUACUUGGGUCCAAGUUUUUGUAAAUGUCUCUUGUUGUAGGCUGAAAUGUACUACAACUUUAUCAUUAUUUUCCUUACUAAAAAUUAAACAAGUUGCUAAGAGUUACAUAGACCCAUAAUUAACUUCCCCAUUAAGAACAGAAAGGAUGCAUUUUUAAAAUGUUUUUAUUGCCUUAGUAAUGCAUGUUACAAAAAAAAUGUCUUCUGCAGCAAAACACACGAAGAACAGGGAUGAGUGCAAACCAAACAAAUCAGAAAGUAAAUUAUCUAUGAAACCACUUAUUUCAAUGCAACAGGGAACAGUAAAAGUUUUGAAACAGCUUUUCCUCCUCUGGAGAUUGCAGAACUAAUUGGAGCUCCUGACACAAGUCAAAAUAUUGCACUAAACCAAGACUUAAAUUCCUUCCUCCCAAAGAGGCCUAAACAUUGUCCUCACAACAUGUUUAUUUUGUUGGAAUAGAAGAGAAACAGUCCAGAGAAAGACUGCAACCUGCUCUGUCCUGCCAAGGCAAUGGCUGUGCAACGUGCUCUCUUCAAGAGAAAGACAAGGACAACUUGGA